rnacentral:rRNA from 1 species
GUGAACGCUGGCGGUAGGCCUAACACAUGCAGGUCGAACGGCAGCACAGUAAGAGCUUGCUCUUACGGGUGGCGAGUGGCGGACGGGUGAGGAAUACAUCGGAAUCUACUUUUUCGUGGGGGAUAACGUAGGGAAACUUACGCUAAUACCGCAUACGACCUACGGGUGAAAGCAGGGGAUCUUCGGACCUUGCGCGAUUGAAUGAGCCGAUGUCGGAUUAGCUAGUUGGCGGGGUAAAGGCCCACCAAGGCGACGAUCCGUAGCUGGUCUGAGAGGAUGAUCAGCCACACUGGAACUGAGACACGGUCCAGACUCCUACGGGAGGCAGCAGUGGGGAAUAUUGGACAAUGGGCGCAAGCCUGAUCCAGCCAUACCGCGUGGGUGAAGAAGGCCUUCGGGUUGUAAAGCCCUUUUGUUGGGAAAGAAAAGCAGCAGGUUAAUACCCCGCUGUUCUGACGGUACCCAAAGAAUAAGCGCCGGCUAACUUCGUG